rnacentral:lncRNA from 1 species
ACUAGGCCCCCUCAGGAGAGACCAGCUCUGCCCCCAACCCCCUCUGCCAACUGAUGCCUCCUACCAAAAACAGCAGGCCUAUGGGAUUUCAGGCCUCCCCUCCACGCCCAGGUAGGUAUUAAAGAGAGGGAAACCGGGGCAAGCAGGCUGGACACCAUGCUCUUCACCAAGACUGUCCAAUUUGUGGUGAAUUUUCUUCUGUCCUGGCGAGGGGGUCUGAGGGAGGGUGCCGACGGGAUAAAGCGUACGGCCCUAGCAGCACUUGGGAAUUUGGAAGGCAGGGAUGGGGGGGCCGCUCCAAUAUCCCCCUCUACCCCUCUGAAUGGACCAAGAGUAACCUCGACCAUGGUCGAUUCGAGGCGGCACCUCCUUCCGCCCGUCACACCCUCCCCGAGAGAUCUCGGCCCGGCUCCCUCCUCAGGAGGCCUCGGGCCACGCCCCUGCAGAGCUGGGACCAGGAACUGUGUUUCUGCGGCUGCCGGGGCCCUGCCUUGCCGGAGCCCGCCGCCCGCCGCAUCCUGGGUGACUACUGGCUGAGUCCGCAGCGCCACGGCCCACCCAGCGCCGCCUAGGGCUGGCCGUCGGCGCGCAGGAUUGAGCUGCUGCCUGGGGCCACCGGCCCGGCCGAUGUGCAGUCGCCGAGCUGGCCCGCUGGCCAAGGCGCGCGCCCGCACCUCACUUGGAAGCACCGAUGGCAGAAUAUUAACUACCAGUUCCAGAGCAAGAGGAAGAGACACCUGGUUUUCCUGCGCCCGUGAGAGCCGGUAGGGGGCCGGCCAAGUUGUGGUGGGCGGGGAUUCUGGGGCGCGGCCUAGCUGCUGUCGGGGAGGGCAAAACAGAGCCGGAGAUUGCACCUUUGCGGUUUUGAGCCCAUUGCCCGCGUUUGGGAACCAGGAUAGAUCGCAUCAAGGAACAGCUUGCAGCCCCAGAGCAGGAGUGAUUCCAGCCCAAGACAUAGUGGUCAAGAUGAAUGACAGAAGGGAAGGAAAGCUGCCCUGGCAUCAUCCUGUGUGUUCCUGUGUUCGUCACAUCUCUGUGCGUUUCUUUUUCUUUUGUGUUUGUUUUUUUUUGGUUUUUUGAGACAGAGUUUCGCCAUGUAGUGCAAGCUGGCCUUGAACUCACUAUGUGACUCAGGCUGGCCUCGAACUCGCAGCAAUCCUCCUGCCUCAGCCUCCCGAGUCCUGGGAUUACAGGCAUGCACCACCAUGCCUGGCCUCUGUGCAUUUCUGGUCAGAAACACCCUUUGAAGCACUCUCUGUGUGUCCUCUGAUCUGUGUUGUUCAACAAAUAGUUAUCAAGGUCCUGUUUUAGUGGCUUAUGCCAGGUUUAUACACUGAGUUAACAGCUAGGUUCACAUCAGUGAAACAAACCAUUGAGGUCCUUGCACCUCUGGUGGGGAGACAGGCCAUAAAAAGGGGUCAAAAGGGCCGGGGAUUUAGCUCAGUGGUUCCGCCUCUUGCCUCAAAAGCAAGUUUGAUCCCCGGUACCAAAAAGGGGUCAAAGAUGAAUGGCCUGUUGUGUUGGAGAACAGGACUGGGUCAGGUGCUACUGCACAUGGGAUGAGCAGCGACUGUCUCUGGUCACAGUCUACAACAGUGCCUGACAUGUAGUGGGUCAGUACUGCGGACCGAGAGCACAGGUUGGUCAGGAGGUCCUUUCUUAGAGGUGCAACUUAAACCAGGCUUGGAGGAUGCAAGGCCAGCCAUUUCCAGCCUCUGGGUGGAGGGAACAGUAUACAUCUGGCUAGUUUUGCUGCCCUGUGGAAUCCGUGUUGCCAUGUCUCUGUCUGCCUGUUGUCUCUGUGGUCUAGGGAGCCCUGGGGCAAGUCUAAUUAAGUUCCAGAGUCCCUGGAAGUGAAGUCAUUGCUGAGCUCCGUUCAUUCACUGCAUGACCAAAUCUGGCCUUACGAGCUGGGCCCCACCAUUUCCCUGGAUGCAGCCCCUCCCCCGACAGCAUCAGUCCCAUGACCUCUGGCUCCUUCCCAGGGCAGCACCCUGCUGUUAGGAAGGAAGUCCUUCCUCCUGUCUAACCACAGUCCCCACUGAGGCAACCCCAGACCUUUCCUCUCAUUCUGCCAUGUGGGAAGUGGGGAGGAAAUGUGCUGACUGUGGGAGCUGGCUCUGCCUGACAGAGUCUGGUAGACCCAACACCAGGAGGGUGACAACCCCUGGCAACCCUAGGGAGGCGAACCUCAAAGGACAGAGACAAUUGCUCAUUUUAGGAGCCUCUGUCAUAUCCGUUAUCUCAUCUAAUCCAUCAACACCCCACUUUAUGGACAGAAACUCAGGCAGGUGCAGAGAUGAAAACAGUGGCAGAACUGGAACCAGAACCCAGUUGUCUUGGUAAAACAGUAAUGAUAUAACUAACAUUUAUGUUAUCCUUACUCUCUUCAGGUACUGUGCUAGAACUUCGUGUACAUUUUGUCCUUCUUCUUCCUCAUCUCUUUCUCCUCUUUCUUCUUCUGGUUUUUGUUUUUGUUGUUUAUUUGUUUUCAGACAGGGUCUUCGUUUGCAGUGCAGAUGACCUUGAACUCACUAUGUAGCCCAGGCUGGUUCUGAACUGUGGCAGUCCUCCUGCCUUAACCUCCCAAGUGCUGGGAUAAUAGGUGUGUGCCUCCACACCUGGCUUAUAUUUCUUCUUUCAGCCUCAUCUGUGUGGGUUGUGCCAUCAGUAUCCCCGUUGUACCCAGGUGAGGAGACUGAGGCUCACAGCCAUUCAACGACUUGCUGGAAGAUACCAGCUAGUUCAUGGCAGGGCCAGAUUUGAGCUAAGGCUGUCUGGCAUGCUCAGCGAUCCUCCCUGUGCCCUGGGGUUCAGGAGAAGUGUCACAGAUGUCUGUUUUUCAGGGAUUUGGGGACACAGGCUUCAGGCUUUUUGCAUGAUGAUCCCGAAGCAGACUUGCACCAUGCCAAGGAUGAGCUGGAAGGAGUGCUGAACAAUUCAGUGCCCCCUGUCUUCAGAUUAUCUGCCUUAUCUCCCUCUUGGGGUCUCUGAGAUCCUGCCCUUCACACUCCAAAUAAAUGAGCUUCUGCCUCUCUGGG